rnacentral:lncRNA from 1 species
CAGGAGGUGCUAUAGCAGUGAUGGCAGUUGCUAGAAAUACAUUUUUUAUUGUUAUUAUUUUUCCCUGUAUUCUUUCAUUGUAGCACCCUAUUCAUGUCAGCUUCCAGACUGAUAUGUCCUGGGAAAAUCGGAUUAUUAAUAUGAUCUUGAAAAGCACCAAUAAAAUCAGGAAUGCAUCAAAGGCAAGAAAUUCAAAGUGCAGCUCGAUGUGACCGUGAGAGAGCUACACUCAAAGGCAGUGUUCACAGACACUGGAAGAUGAUCCUGGAAAGAAUCUGGCCCAUCCUGUUCAAAGUGGGGGUGAACUUCAUAAAGAACAUCAAAAUAUUAUGCUGGCCUUGAAGGAAGAGAGAAAAGUCAUAAAGAACUCCCUGGGAGUCCCAGGUGCAGACUGAAUGAGACCCUGGCAGUGAGGAUCACGUAGACCCACUGAGGAUGUACAGUUUGCUUGUACCUUCAAGAUGAGGUCUGAGAGAUACCAUAAGAGAUAAAUUGCAUGCCCCCACCUUUAGCGGGUUGUGAAUUAAAUGUAAUGGGUUGCAGCCAGAACUUGAAGAUUAACUAGGAUCAAAUAGAAUAAAAACAUCACAGUGCACUGAAUAUAGUAAAAG